GCUUGCCAGAUAAUUAAAGAUUCCAUUUAGCAGUUCAUCAUUGGAUAUCUCUGAGAGACACCUCUGUCUAUAAAUAGUUUAACAACUUCCGCCUAAGUCGGAGACCUCUGCGGGAAUCUCUAAGGAGAAACCUAAGAUCAUCAUCAGAGUAAACUGACAGUCUGAUCAGCUGUCAAUAGCUUCCCGUCAGCGUAAAUAUUGACGUAUCAAAGUCCUGCAGGCACGAUAGCUCGUUCCCGGCGCCACGUCCGUCAUCGUUAGCUGUAACCCGAAACUGUACGCUUGAUCGUAAUCGUUGUAUCGUUAGCUGCAACCUGAAACCAUAUGUUUGAUUAUAAAUCGCUAUAACCGGAAAAACUGCAACAGAACAAAGGCUCAGCCUACGUCGCGCAUCACUAUCUGAGCGACACCCGGGCCAUCCUCAGCUUCUCAGAGUCUCAAGUAAUCCCAGUACAGUUCUGUCAUCUCUGCUCUGCAUCACUGUCUCCAGCCAAUCCUGCUGGCAUCUGUUUUGCCCUCACCUACGUGCUGGCCCAGGAUGCUUCAAAGUCAUAACUGCAAGGAACAGCACCCAAAACACCGAGAAGACCUUGUGAAGUGCAACUGGUAAAAGCAGCAUACUGAGGGCAAUCAGUGCCCUGGCACAGUGACAAGUAGCUGGUUAAUAUACAUUCAAAAGACCAGAGGAAAAAAAACCAUGCUCCUAUGGGCGUUUAUACACAUGCUCUGGGGGGGCGUAGAGGGUGCUUUAAAUUAGCGCAGAUUCAAGAACCAUGCUAAUUAAAAGUGCCUGGAGCAUCACAUGCAUCAGUGCCCCCACGCUGAAAAAUGGCAGUGGGGCACUUUGAACAAACUAUAGUUCAAAGUGUCCCACCGCCGUUUUUCAGUGUGGGGACUGAUACACAUGACGCUGGAAAGCAUCAAUUUCCAUACUCAGAAUUACAGUGUGUUGGAGCAGGCUCCCUACAUGUGUAUAGGAUGGGGUGGGCCUGCGCGCCAGAUUCAGCCCACCAGGCACUUUCAUCCAGCCCACAGCACCUACCAAUGGAUUAUACCCCACCCAACCCUUCUGUCCAUGAGGAUGGGAAUGAAGCGCCCACGUAUACACAUGCCCCCAACAUACCCUAUUGCACCUUGUUCCCACCCUCCUGGGCAGAAGGGCCUGGCCCAGUCAGCAGACAGCUUCCAAGUGCGGCUGUUGCUGUUGCUGCCACUGCUGCAGGUGCCAGGAACCUGCUUGGCUUCCCUGCGUGUCCUGCUCACUCUGGGCAGCAAGGUAGGGAAGCAGUAGGGGCUGCAGCUGGGCAGCAGCAUGGAGCCCAUGCUCAGGGGGCAGCAGCAGUACAGAGCUUGGGUGGGCAGUGUGUGGGUGUGAGGAAUGUUGGGGAAGGGACUUCCAGUGGCAAAGGUGGGGGGAGGGGGGUCACGGAUGGGACCUCUGGUCCCAAGAUGGUAACCAGAGGGUGGGGCAACUGUCAAGGGGUGGGGCUACCUAUGCAGCCCUUGAAAGCUCACCAAACCUCAUUCAGUGGCCCUCCACCUGAAAUAAUUGGCUGCCCCUAGUAUAGGAGCCCUGUGCGUCUGAGGAAGGCAGAUCCCACCAGAGUCCAUGGAAAUCCAACCUAGGAAAGAAAUUCUAUCCUCACCCCAAUUUUGGCAGUUGGUAUGACACUAAAUGGAAGUGUAGGAACCUCUGCAUCUUAUAAGUACCAGCUAGAGCAAUGUAUCACAGUCAAAAAUCCCAAGCUUUAGCUGUAGUUAGUGUCCCAGCGCCUCUGAUGAAGACAAAGAAAUGCUCAAAAGCAAUCUCAAUCAUAAGGGGAAAUUUCCUCCCUGCUGACCAGCAAAAAGCCUUGAUGACAAAACAACUUCCACACUAAAAGUUAUCCCCCCCCCCCCCCAAGGGACUGUAAAACACCAGACUCCACAUUAAUUUGCUGAUGGUUGAGCUAAAGCUUCCUACUGUGAAUUUUUGUCCUGUGGACAGCUUGGCCUUCCAAGCAAAGACCAGGUUCAGAUGCUCCAAACCUAUUCUCAGCUGCCGUCUAAUUUUGUAAAUGCCUGAAUUCCAUAGGCAUAGAUGAAUGCCUGAAUCUCAUACCUGAUUAAGUCUCCUAUGCUACUAAAAGUGCCUCAACUUUGACGUUCCUCAGAAGCUUAGUGUGCCUGUACACAUUGCUGUGGGGCUGCUCCAGCACACUGCAAUUACAGUGCAUCAGAGCAGACUCGAUUAAUCGAUUAGUCUGCUAGAGAGUGGUAAUUACCAUGCUACAUAUUACAGUGUAGGCAACGCAGUUAGUUUGAUACUUGAGCUACCCCAGAUGUUAGAAAGAGCUCAGCAACAGCAACAUGGUUCUUUGUGUGGUAUCAUUUCCCAUGUGCAUUGGCACAGAGCUCCAUGUUGUCAGCAUGGCUAGGUACAAACAUUUGGGGAAGUUAAGGGAAGGUUAGACUGCAUUAAAAACAGCCAUCCAAUCUAACUUGGCUUGCUCAGGUGCAUACCUUACACUUAGAUUGACCUAACUAAGGAUCUAAGUGUGAACAGUACAGGAGUUCAAGAAGGUUAGAUCAGUCUAAAAUUGGCCAACCUGAUCCAAAUUAACUGUACUUCUGGAGGUAGUUAGAUUGGGCUAAGCUAGACCAAUUUAACUGAACUUCUGUAUACUUCUCAGUGUAGCCCCAAGGCUAGGAAAGCCCAGACACUGGCUGCAGCCCCAGUGCUGUGUUUUUUCUACUCACCCCCUUGCACUAGGCUAUUUAAACAUCCUGGCCCCUUGUCCCUUCCCCAGAAGAACAAUCCUUCACCACAGACCAACCAGCCCCACCUAAGCCUGCCAAACUCCCCAGCCUGCAAGCUGAUCCGGAUGCUGGGAGCCAAUUGAAAUAAGUUGGGGUGGGGGGAGAGCUCCCCCAUCCCCCUCAGGGACCUUAUUAGUCCCCCAGAUCCCCCCACAUUCUGCUUGCCCCCUCCAUCUGGUUUCCCAUGGACCUUAUUUGCCUCCCUCAUUUCCCAUGGACCCUGCCACCUGCCCUCCCCAUCUGGACUUACCUUAGAUUAUGUGGCCAUUUUUAAAUUUGACCUAACCUCCCCCAAUGUCAUGUCUCAGAAUUUACCUCCUCUCUGCCCCAGGCUGUCAGAAUUUUUCAUUUUAAAAUAGAAGAAAAAUACAAAAAAUUACUACUUAAAUAUUUACCAAAACCUUUUCCUUACUCAAAGCAAAAGUUUUAUUAACCAGUUCCAAUAAACUGUUAAAAGCAACACUGAAUAUCAAAAUGCUUGAGGAAUUAGACUCAAAAGUAUGUUAAUUCCCAAAAGAAAUUCUCAUUUCCACAGGAUUACUUAGGCAUUUUAAUUAUAAUUGCUUUUCCCUUUCAAAGAAUAAGAAGUUUCAUCAAACUACUCCCUAUAGUCUGGUUAUAGUCUGUUGCAAGUGGACUGUUCAUUUAAUGAAUGAUUAAUAUAUAUCCUUCCACUGAUUCCACACACAAACUAAAAACAUAGAUGGUAUUUCAUUAAAUUCCUCUUUGCAUCUCUAUUGCAUUAUUCCUGCCACCUCAUCUGCACGUCUUACAUCCCUGUCUGCUUAAGAUUUCAUGUGAUUUCAAUUUACAGUAUUUUGAAAUCAAUCAGUAGAAAAAGCAUGUGGCUCCAUGCAAAGGAAACUUCCUCUACUAAGAAUAUUAUUUAUCGAGUCCUUGCAGUUAGUUUUGUUGAGGAAAUUCAGCAUUACAUAUAAUCGAAGAGUGUUAUCUGGCUCAUUUAACCUAAGUGGGAUUUGUUUGUCUUAUAAUUUGACUUCAGGGAAGAAAACAAGCUUGUUGUUCAGUUAUAUAUGGCAACCAUAGAAUUCUCACAUAUCAGCUGGGAUAAUACUAUGCAUUUAUUCUUACAUAUUUUUGGAGCACAUGAGAAUUAUGCUCUGUACUUUAAAAAAAAAAAAAAUAAAGGGCUUCUGCAGAUGCUGCUCUGACAUGCUGUAAUUAUAGCACACCAGAACAGACUUAAUUAAUUAGCAGCCAGCUGAUGCAUGAAACAGAAGCAUCCCUGCACUUCAAAAGUGGCGGGGGUGCUCGACUAAAGCUUGUUGAAUGAACUUUAGUUCAAGCACCCACCCUCAUUUUGAAGCACAGGAAUGCUGAUACUUGAGAUGCUAAAGCAGUUUAAUUAGAGCAGCUCAUGAAGCCACUCCAAUUAAAAGUGCCUGUAUCCCCACCCCUCCACUCCCAAAGCACAUGUAAAAGUGUCCAAGGUGUUCCGUGGUAAUGUGAGGGGUGGUCAUCUUGACUGAGUGAUCAUGGUUGGCAAAAUCCUUAUUUGGGAGGUACAACACACUCUUGCCUCAGCUAUUUUGUGGUUCAGAUAGUAAUUUCUCUUUUAAGAAAAGUAAAAGCCUUUUGUACUUGUGUUUGCAAACAAAGCCUUCCAAAUCUAUACAAAAAAAAAUUUAACUGAUACAACUACCAUUAUAUCUGCCUGAGUUUUCAAGUGGCCUGAAACAAAUCCUCUAAGAGGUAUUAAUUGCUACUAUUCAGCUGAGAAAUGCAUCAACUUAGAUGCCUAUUAUAACAGAUUAAUACUUCUGAAUUGUUUAUUAUGGUCAGAGAAGGCUAAAACACUUAAGAAAGUAAGAGGACCUUGCUAUAAAGAUCUGCACAAUCUAUUGGAGUCCAUGGUAUUCAAGGAAACCUUAACUGGGCCUGGGAACAAAAUUAAUAGCUUUACAUGGAGUAAACUGAAGAGAGUGAUUUGAUGGCUCAUUAGAAUGUACCUGCUCCUUUGCUAACCUCUCCGAACUCUACAAAUUAAUAGCAACCCUGUUAGAUUACAUAUUUUCUGCUACCUUUUGCUUGUUUUGCAACUACUUUAGAAAAUUUUUUUUGUUCCAUGAGUUUACUGGCCUCCUGGAUUUCUUUAAAGAGACUUUUCAUAUAAUGGAGUUAAACAAAAGUUAUUGUUAUACCUGAUACUUAACUUUAGAGAAAAGCAGAUACAACCAAUCUGGGAAAGAUGGCACUUCAUCUCCAAAACUUGGUCUAACAUGUCUCUUUGGCUAUACAGUUAAAACCCAAUAAAGAAUACCAAAGAAACUUUGCUUCUUCAUAUUCCAUGGACUAUCAUAGCUACAAACAUGCUUCUACAUCUUCACUGGCAAAGUUACUGUGCUAGCUAAACUAAGCUGACUUGACUACACUCUCAUGUACUGCAAAUCACACCUUCAUGUUAUUGUGUAGAUAUAACACAAAUCUAUGUAUUCAACUGCAGUACAGUGUCCUGCUUUUAUCAGUGUGUUGUUGUGUCAUUAAAAAGACUUGACUAUAGCACAUUUAA